GAAAAAUGUUUAAUUGUGUGUAUAAAUACUGUUUCCACAACUGAAUGCCAUCAAACAUGAUGCAUAAUUUCAGAUGUGAAUAAAACUACACUUUGGUGUCAUUCUCAUGACUUAAAAAAAAAUAAAAAAAUAAAUAAAUGUUCCAUGGAAGAAGGAACGUCUCUUCCAAACAGGUUUGUAACAUAAUGGUGAGUAAAUUAUGACAAAAUUCUAAUUUUUAGGGGUGAACUAUCCCAUUUUUCACUAUGGACAUAUUUGGCACUAGUUUAAUUUGUCAAUUAACAAUUGUCCAAUAGAGAACAUACAUACAUCACAGCAGAAUUCUUUCCUUUUAAAUGAACUAUGGAUAUAAUUUCAAAUAUAAAUGCUAUAUGUGGGUAUAGAAUAUUCCAUUUUCUUUGGCGUCAUAAAUUAAGCAUGCACAGUUAAAAUGAAUAUGUAUCUGCUGCUAUGAAUCAUGUUAUAUUUCCUGUCUUCUGGACCUCGUUCCAUUAUGUUGAACGCCCCCAUAGAUAUGUAAAAACAACCUUUUGUCUGAGGGCUGAAAAGUGAAGGCAAUUUGUCUGUGGCAACCAGCAGAGCUCUCAGACAGGAGAAUGUGUUAAUGAGGAUCCGAGAUUAAAGAGAUCAAUGAAAGGCCCGUUAAGCGCUUAACCGGUGCGCUAUCACUUAACAAGCGCAGUUUUUGACAAUGCUUAAAGAGAGCACACGGCCCAAACCAGUUGACUUCUAGGUAAUUGCUUUUCUUUUUAUUUCGCUGCACUUCUCUGUCCUCUUUAAUGGUGCUGUCUUGCCAUCCUUUCUCUAAGCAGACAAAGAAUCACUCAUUCUGUGGCAUCGUCAAUGAAUCGAUGCCACGCUCCCCUCAUCAUUCGCUCUCUCUCUCUCUGUCUCUCUCGGUUUCUUGGUCAGUCAGGGUACAUAACCUGUGCAAAGCCUUUUGCUUCUCUGUGCACAUCAUUUCAAAGUGGAUUCUUAUUGAGCAACACAAGCUAUGCGUCCAUCCAGUAUUUUGACCUUUGAACCGGGGUUGGAGUCUGGAGUGCCAUGGGGCCGUGAUCUUUUUACUUUUGUGACUUCAGCAGCUGGUCACAUGAUGAGGACUUUGCAAAGACCACGUAAAAACAAGCCAUCAAAACGACAAGUCAAUCAUCGCAGGUUUCUGCACAACAUGAUACAGAGAAAAUUUGCUGAAAUAGAGGCAGCGAACCAUCAGCUGGCGUCUGCUUUAUUUGCAACUGAUAAACCCCCCGAUCAUCUAACUCCCAGACUAUCUCACAUUGUAACGGAAGUCACAGACCAGUCACCCAAACCUUCAAAAAAAGCUAUUGAAACUUGUAUAAAUGCUGACAAAACCGAAGCGCUUCCUGAACAACAAGAGGAUGUGUGUGACCUCUGGACAUUGGACAGUCUUUUGGACACCCAUGUGGCUGAUAAAAGUUUCUCACCGUGCAAGUUCUCCAACAGUAGAGGAAGAAAUCCGAGAACUGAGAAAGACGGCAAAGCUUUGAAAAACAACCCUGAAAGCUCAAUGGAGAAGGACAUCGACUUCAGCUUCAGCUUCGAAAGGCAGCCAGCAUCUACUGAUUUUGAAAGCUUGACACAAAUGAACGACAGUCUCCUAGAGGACAGCAUGUCCUCCUGGUUUGGGUCCAUUGAAAGAACAAGAACAUAUUCAAAACCAUAUCUCACCAAGUACCAUGACGUGAAGUUGCUCCCCACAGACGUUGAUGUUCAAGACCUGUCACCUCCUUCUCCGGUGGUUUCACUCUUGUCUUUGGAUUCAUGUGAUUUGGAGGUUCAGAUGCUCAUAGAUGCAGAGCACAAUGUGAACCAAAUGCAAGAUGCCACCAUCGUAGAGAGUCUCCAAAUGGAUAUGGUGGAUGACCUUGACCUCUUGGAUAAAAUGGCUGAGUGGAUGGAUCACAGUGAAGAGGAUGGACGAUGUUUACAGGAAACAUGUGAGUUUCCAAGCUCUCUGGAUUCAGAUCUAGAGAACCUAACAGGUUCUGGUGGUGAGGCCACCAACUCCAUGUCCAAUUUGGGCCAAACGGGUCAUUCAUUUUUUGCUAAUGUUCUCUGUAGUCAAGAGCCACAUAGACGUAGUUUCCAUCAUGAUCAAAUAAACUAUGCUAUGAACCACAAUAUCAUUCUAGAAGACCGGUUUGGUCAGGCUGAACCUUGCAUGAAGACGAAUGGAAAGGAGGAUUGUUAUUUAGAUACAGAUUUUUCUGUCAUGGAUGGUAAUGUUUCAAGCAACCACAUGUUCCCAGGAUUUGAGAGACAGUUGGACCAAUCCAAAAGCAUUCUUCAUGACGACUGGGAACAGCAACCUCUAAAAAGUUCAUACAAGAACUAUACAAGUACAGAUCAGAUUAUGAUGCAAGAAACUGAUAUCAGAAAUGUUGACAAAAACAUUGUGCAGGUUGAGAAUCUCAACCAGACUUUAUCAGGCCCCCAAUGCCCGAUAACAUGCUGCCUUGAAGGCUUUUGUUAUCAUAAAGAAGACUCGUGUUUUUACACAAAAUUCAGAGGCAGUCACAACUUUGAGGGCGUGGCUAGAUCUUUCCCAGCCACACUGCAUAAGCUCCACCCCACUCCAAUUCCGACUCCACCUCUAGAUGAUGAUUGGUUGUUUAGUAAUAUUGUGGCAGAGGAAGAGGUAAAUAGCAUGAAUAAUACAUUUGGAAAGUACUGAUCAGUCAAUGGACAGUAAUUGUUGUUUUCAUGAAUUUCAUUGUACCUGGGGAUGUUUGAUUUUUACACUUUUGUGAUUUUAUGAUCAUUUCUGUGAAAUGUUCUUGUCUGUGGUGUGAAAAAUUGAAUAUUUUCUGUAAUAAAAACUGUAUGAGUAUUGUAACAUAAUACAAAAAAAAAAUUUAUUUAAAUGGAUCAAUUUACUUUUCAAAUGUAAAAUUAUUGUAUUUAAAGAGCCCUGUGAUGGACUGGCCAUCAGUUCAGUGUUUCAUUGUCUUUGGUCCAAUAUGGUUGGACAGGCUUAAAAAAUUGCUUUAAAAGUUAUUAAAAUAUUAUUUUAUUUUUGCGUUUAAGUUACAUUAUGAACAUGAAUUAAACUUUGAAAUUUUAAAUGUCUGUUUAUUUAUCAAUUUAAAGUGAUUUAUUGUUAUACUUAACUACACUUUUAAAUGUAAAAUGAAGUUUUAAAUAUCUAUUUAUUCAUUUGAAAAGCGAUUUAUUGAUUAAUUAAUUUAUUCAUUUACUAUUAUUUUAUUUUAUUUUUAGAUAU
rnacentral:lncRNA from 1 species